rnacentral:rRNA from 1 species
GACGAACGCUAGCGGCGUGCUUAACACAUGCAAGUCGAACGGAAAGGCCCUGCUUUUGUGGGGUGCUCGAGUGGCGAACGGGUGAGUAACACGUGAGUAACCUGCCCUUGACUUUGGGAUAACUUCAGGAAACUGGGGCUAAUACCGGAUAGGAGCUCCUGCUGCAUGGUGGGGGUUGGAAAGUUUCGGCGGUUGGGGAUGGACUCGCGGCUUAUCAGCUUGUUGGUGGGGUAGUGGCUUACCAAGGCUUUGACGGGUAGCCGGCCUGAGAGGGUGACCGGCCACAUUGGGACUGAGAUACGGCCCAGACUCCUACGGGAGGCAGCAGUGGGGAAUAUUGCACAAUGGGCGGAAGCCUGAUGCAGCAACGCCGCGUGCGGGAUGACGGCCUUCGGGUUGUAAACCGCUUUCGCCCGUGACGAAGCGUGAGUGACGGUAAUGGGUAAAGAAGCACCGGCUAACUACGUG